rnacentral:rRNA from 1 species
AUUGAACGCUGGCGGAAUGCUUUACACAUGCAAGUCGAACGGUAGAGGGGCAACCCUUGAGAGUGGCGAACGGGUGAGUAAUGUAUCGGAACAUGCCCAGUCGUGGGGGAUAACGUAACGAAAGUUACGCUAAUACCGCAUACGAUCUAUGGAUGAAAGCGGGGGAUCGCAAGACCUCGCGCGAUUGGAGUGGCCGAUGUCAGAUUAGGUAGUUGGUGGGGUAAAGGCUCACCAAGCCAACGAUCUGUAGCUGGUCUGAGAGGACGACCAGCCACACUGGGACUGAGACACGGCCCAGAGUCCUACGGGAGGCAGCAGUGGGGAAUUUUGGACAAUGGGCGAAAGCCUGAUACAGCAAUGCCGCGUGCAGGAAGAAGGCCUUCGGGUUGUAAACUGCUUUUGUACGGAGCGAAAAGGCCUCCUCUAAUACAGGGGGCUCAUGACGGUACCGUAAGAAUAAGCACCGGCUAACUACGUGCCAGCCGCCGCGGUAA